UACGAAGGGGGCUAGCGUUGUCCGGAUUUAUUGGGCGUAAAGAGCGUGUAGGCGGCCAGCACAAGUCAGUUGUGAAAUCUCCGAGCUUAACUCGGAAAGGUCAACUGAUACUGUGCGGCUAGAGUGCGGAAGGGGCAACUGGAAUUCUUGGUGUAGCGGUGAAAUGCGUAGAUAUCAAGAGGAACACCUGCGGCGAAGGCGGGUUGCUGGGCCGACACUGACGCUGAGGCGCGAAAGCGUGGGGAGCAAACAGG
rnacentral:rRNA from 1 species